UGGUUUAUUUGUUGCAGGCAUAUACUGGUAUCUUGAAUUUCAUCGAGUUCGUGGGCAGCUAUAUCCCAGUUGUUCUCUACAAUAGUCAGGAACUAUUGAUCACCAGUUCAUCAGCUAUCAUGCUUUACUUCAUGGCAUCUUACUACAGAUGAUGUUAUUCAGCAUGAACCAUUCAAUCUUGCAGCCAGCUUGCAGUGAAAUCGGUUUUGAUAUAUUGUUGAUUUGGUAAUCUUGUUUUGUAAAAUUAGGCACAGUACUGAGGUCGUUAUCAUCAAAAUGUAACGCUAUGUGCGAUGCGAUAAUAUAUACGUUAGCUAUCGUAUAUAAAGAGGUCGCUUAACUUUUUUGUACUGAUAUAAACAUUCUCAUGGGGAUGGAGUAUAUGGUUUUUGUGGGUC